UACGUAGGGUGCGAGCGUUAAUCGGAAUCACUGGGCGUAAAGCGCACGUAGGCGGACUCUUAAGUCGGUGGUGAAAUCCUGGAGCUCAACUCCAGAACUGCCUUCGAUACUGAGAGUCUUGAGUCCGGGAGAGGUGAGUGGAACUGCGAGUGUAGAGGUGAAAUUCGUAGAUAUUCGCAAGAACACCAGUGGCGAAGGCGGCUCACUGGCCCGGUACUGACGCUGAGGUGCGAAAGCGUGGGGAGCAAACAGG
rnacentral:rRNA from 1 species